GGGCCCGCACAAGCGGAGGAACAUGUGGUUUAAUUCGAUGAUACGCGAGGAACCUUACCCGGGCUUGAAAUGUAUCUGACUAACUUGGAAACAGGUUAUCUAGCAAUAGCAGAUAUGUAGGUGCUGCAUGGUUGUCGUCAGCUCGUGCCGUGAGGUGUCGGCUUAAGUGCCAUAACGAGCGCAACCCCUAUCGAUAGUUACUAACAGGUCAAGCUGAGGACUCUAUUGAGACUGCCACCGUAAGGUGUGAGGAAGGUGGGGAUGACGUCAAAUCAGCACGGCCCUUACGUCCGGGGCGACACACGUGUUACAAUGGGAGGUACAGAGGGUCGCUACCUGGUGACAGGAUGCCAAUCUCGUAAAACCUCUCUCAGUUCGGAUCGGAGUCUGCAACUCGACUCCGUGAAGCUGGAUUCGCUAGUAAUCGCGCAUCAGCCAUGGCGCGGUGAAUACG
rnacentral:rRNA from 1 species